GACGAACGCUGGCGGCGUGCUUAACACAUGCAAGUCGAACGGAAAGGCCCUGCUUUUGUGGGGUGCUCGAGUGGCGAACGGGUGAGUAACACGUGAGUAACCUGCCCUUGACUUUGGGAUAACUUCAGGAAACUGGGGCUAAUACCGGAUAGGAGCUCCUGCUGCAUGGUGGGGGUUGGAAAGUUUCGGCGGUUGGGGAUGGACUCGCGGCUUAUCAGCUUGUUGGUGGGGUAGUGGCUUACCAAGGCUUUGGCGGGUAGCCGGCCUGAGAGGGUGACCGGCCACAUUAGGACUGAGAUACGGCCCAGACUCCUACGGGAGGCAGCAGUGGAGAAUAUUGCACAAUGGGCGGAAGCCUGAUGCAGCAACGCCGCGUGCGGGAUGACGGCCUUCGGGUUGUAAACCGCUUUCGCCUGUGACGAAGCGUGAGUGACGGUAAUGGGUAAAGAAGCACCGGCUAACUACGUG
rnacentral:rRNA from 1 species